GACGAACGCUGGCGGCGUGCUUAACACAUGCAAGUCGAACGGAGUGGCGAACGGGUGAGUAACACGUGGGUGACCUGCCCUGCACUUCGGGAUAAGCCUGGGCAACUGGGUCUAAUACCGGAUAGUUGGGGAUGGGCCCGCGGCCUAUCAGCUUGUUGGUGGGGUAAUGGCCUACCACGGCGGCGACGGGUAGCCGGCCUGAGAGGGUGGACGGCCACAGUGGGACUGAGACACGGACCAGACUCCUACGGGAGGCAUCAGUGGGGAAUAGUGCACAAUGGGCGGAAGCCUGAGGCAGCGACGUCGGGUGGGGGAUGACGGCCGUCGGGUGGUAAACGCCUUUCACCAUCGACGCGGUAGAUGGAGAAGAAGCACCGGCUAACUACGUGCCAGCCGCCGCGGUAAUAC
rnacentral:rRNA from 1 species